GAGCAAACAGGAUUAGAUACCCCUGGUAGUCCACGCCGUAAAACGAUGUCGACUUGGAGGUUGUGCCCUUGAGGCGUGGCUUCCGGAGCUAACGCGUUAAGUCGACCGCCUGGGGAGUACGGCCGCAAGGUUAAAACUCAAAUGAAUUGACGGGGGCCCGCACAAGCGGUGGAGCAUGUGGUUUAAUUCGAUGCAACGCGAAGAACCUUACCUACUCUUGACAUCCAGAGAACUUNNCAGAGAUGNUUUGGUGCCUUCGGGAACUCUGAGACAGGUGCUGCAUGGCUGUCGUCAGCUCGUGUUGUGAAAUGUUGGGUUAAGUCCCGCAACGAGCGCAACCCUUAUCCUUUGUUGCCAGCGGUCCGGCCGGGAACUCAAAGGAGACUGCCAGUGAUAAACUGGAGGAAGGUGGGGAUGACGUCAAGUCAUCAUGGCCCUUACGAGUAGGGCUACACACGUGCUACAAUGGCGCAUACAAAGAGAAGCGACCUCGCGAGAGCAAGCGGACCUCAUAAAGUGCGUCGUAGUCCGGAUUGGAGUCUGCAACUCGACUCCAUGAAGUCGGAAUCGCUAGUAAUCGUAGAUCAGAAUGCUNCGGUGAAUACGUUACCCNGG
rnacentral:rRNA from 1 species